UACGGAGGGGACUAGCGUUGUUCGGAAUUACUGGGCGUAAAGCGCACGUAGGCGGAUUUGUAAGUCAGGGGUGAAAUCCCGGGGCUCAACCUCGGAACUGCCUUUGAUACUGCAAAUCUCGAGUCCGGGAGAGGUGAGUGGAACUGCGAGUGUAGAGGUGAAAUUCGUAGAUAUUCGCAAGAACACCAGUGGCGAAGGCGGCUCACUGGCCCGGUACUGACGCUGAGGUGCGAAAGCGUGGGGAGCGAACAGG
rnacentral:rRNA from 1 species